rnacentral:rRNA from 1 species
GACGAACGCUGGCGGCGUGCUUAACACAUGCAAGUCGAACGAAAAGGCCCUGCUCUUGUGGGGUCCUCGAUUGGCGAACGCGUGAGUAUCACGUGUGUAACCUCCCCUUGUCUUUCGGAUAACAUCACGAAACUGCGGCUAAUACCGGGUAGGAGAUCCCGCUCCAUGGGGGGCGUUGGAGAAUUUCGGCGGUUGGGGAUGGACUCGCGGCUUAUGAGCUUGUUGGUGAGGUAGUGGCUUACCAAGGCUUUGACGGUUAGCCGGCCUGGGAGGGCGACCCGCCACAGAGGGAUUGGGAAACGACCCGGAGGCAUACGGGAGGCAGGGGUGGAGAAUAUAGCACAAUGGGCGGAGGCAUGGUGCAGGGACGCCGCGUGGGAGAUGACUGCUUUCGGGUAGGAAACCGCGUUCGCCUGUGACGAAGCGUGAGUGACGUAAAUGGGUAAAGAGGCACGGGCAAACUACGU